rnacentral:rRNA from 1 species
ACGCUCGACACCUACGGGACAGCAGUGGGGAAUAUUGCACAAUGGGGGAAACCCUGAUGCAGCGACGCCGCGUGAGUGAAGAAGUAUUUCGGUAUGUAAAGCUCUAUCAGCAGGGAAGAAAAUGACGGUACCUGACUAAGAAGCCCCGGCUAACUACGUGCCAACAGCCGCGGUAAUCUGAGCGGGCUGGCAAGGC